rnacentral:rRNA from 1 species
UGGGGAAUAUUGCACAAUGGGCGCAAGCCUGAUGCAGCGACGCCGCGUGAGGGAUGACGGCCUUCGGGUUGUAAACCUCUUUCACCAGGGACGAAGCGCAAGUGACGGUACCUGGAGAAGAAGCACCGGCCAACUACGUGCCAGCAGCCGCGGUAAUACGUAGGGUGCGAGCGUUGUCCGGAAUUACUGGGCGUAAAGAGCUCGUAGGCGGUUUGUCGCGUCGUCUGUGAAAUUCUGCAACUCAAUUGUAGGCGUGCAGGCGAUACGGGCAGACUUGAGUACUACAGGGGAGACUGGAAUUCCUGGUGUAGCGGUGAAAUGCGCAGAUAUCAGGAGGAACACCGGUGGCGAAGGCGGGUCUCUGGGUAGUAACUGACGCUGAGGAGCGAAAGCGUGGGUAGCGAACAGG